NNNNNNNNNNNNNNNNNNNNNNNNNNNNNNNNNNNNNNNGGGGAUUAAUGGAGGGAUCAGGGUGGGAAUCAUGGAGGGAUCACAGUGAGAUUCACAAUGGGAUUCACAGAGGGAUCACAGGAUUCAUAGUGGGGUCAUGGUGAGAUUCAUGGAGGGAUCUCAGAGGGAUUCCAGGCGGGAUUCAUGGUGGAAUUCAUGGAAUCAUGGAGGGAUUGCAGUGGGAUUCAAGGUGGGAUUCACGGUGGAAUUCAUGGAAUCAUGGAGGGAUCUCAGUGGGAUUCAAGGCAGGAUUCAUGGUGGGAUCACAACAGGAUUCAUGGAAGGAUCACAGAGGGGUUCAUGGAGGGAUCACAGUGGGAUCCACGGAGGGAUUCAAGGCGGAUUCACAAUGGGAUUCAUGGAAUCAUGGAGGGAUCUCAGUGGGAUUCAAGGCGGGAUUCACAGUGGGAUCACAACAGGAUUCAUGGAAGGAUCACAGAGGGGUUCAUGGAGGGAUCAGGGUGGGAUUCAUGGUGGGAUCACAGUGGGAUCCCCGGAGGGAUUCAAGGCGGAUUCACGGUGCAAUUCAUGGAAUCAUGGAGGGAUCACAGAGCAAUUCAAGGCUGGAUUCACGGUGGGAUCACAACAGGAUUCAUGGAAGGAUCACAGAGGGAUUCAUAGAGGGAUCACAGAGGGAUUCAAGGCAGGAUUCAUGGAGGGAUCAGGGUGGGAUUCAGAACAGGAUUCAUGGUGGGGUCACAGAGGGAUUCAAGGUGGGAUUCACAGUGGGAUUCAUGGAGGGAUCACACCGGGAUUCAAGGCGGGACUCACGGUGGGAUUUAUGGAGGGAUCACAGAGGGAUCACAGAGGGAUCCAUGGAGGGAUCAGGGUGGGAUUCAUGGGGGGAUCACACCAGGAUUCAUGGAGGGAUCACAGAGGGAUUCACAGAGGGAUCACAGUAGGAUCCAUGGAGGGAUCUACAACGUGAUUCAUGGAGGGAUGCACAGGGGGAUUCACAACGGGAUUCAUGGAGGGACGAAUUCACAGUGGAAUCACGGUGGGAUUCCUGG
rnacentral:lncRNA from 1 species